UUGUUCUUUCGCUUUUUGGGUCCACGCUGCGUUUGUGAGCUGUAACACCGCGAAGGUCUGGAGCUUCACUCCUGAAGUCAGGCGAGAAGACUACGAACCCACCUGGAGGAAGGAACAACUCCAGACUCGCCGCAUUAAGAGCUGUAACACUCACCGCGAAGGUCUGCAGCUUCACUCCUGAGCCAGCGAGAUCACGAACCCACCGGAAGGCUGUAACAUAUCUGAACAUCAGAAGGAACAAACUCCGGACAGGCCGCCUUCAGGAACUGUAACACUCACCGCGAGGGUCCGUAGCUUCAUUCUUGAAGUCAGUGAGACCAAGAGCCCACCAAUUCCGGACACAACAGGACACACUGUGGCUUCUCCUGGCUUUUUCAAAGUUCAGCCCAAGAGGAAGAGAGACCUAAUUAAUACCCAGGAGAUGGUGGCGUCUAUUUUUUCCAGCUGGGACAACUAAGGCCCCGAGAGGAGAAAGGGACUAUCCGGGGUACAGAGGCCACUGAGUCAGAGCUAGGACCAACAUACCACCAGCUCUCCCUCUUCGGCGCGGACCCCAACUCACCAGCGGUGGCUUCCUGAAGAGCUGGGUUAAGGAGGAUUCUGAGGUGCAGCAGAGCUCGCUAAGAGAGGCUGACGGGUAAGGGGUGCUGCGCUGUGAGCACAGGAGCCAGUGACACAGAUCAGAUGCUGCUGCUGUCGUGGCUGCCACCACAAGAAACAAGAGUGUUGGAGUGCAAAUUCAUUAUCCAGCUGUUAAGAGCGACAGAGCAUGCACACAUCUCUCCCCGACCAGGGUAUCUGAGAGCCAGCCCUGCUGUAUGAUUGAGUGGCUGCCAGCCUCCUCUUCUCUGUAACCUUGACACGCCAGAGCCGGGCCUCCGG
rnacentral:lncRNA from 1 species